UACGUAGGGUGCAAGCGUUAAUCGGAAUUACUGGGCGUAAAGCGUGCGCAGGCGGUUUUGCAAGACCGAUGUGAAAUCCCCGGGCUUAACCUGGGAAUGGCAUUGGUGACUGUACGGCUAGAGUGUGUCAGAGGGGGGUAGAAUUCCACGUGUAGCAGUGAAAUGCGUAGAGAUGUGGAGGAAUACCGAUGGCGAAGGCAGCCCCCUGGGAUAACACUGACGCUCAUGCACGAAAGCGUGGGGAGCAAACAGG
rnacentral:rRNA from 1 species